rnacentral:rRNA from 1 species
AGAGUUUGAUCCUGCUCAGGAUGAACGCUGCGGCGUAGCCAAUACAUGCAAGUCGAGCGAACCACUUCGGUGGGAAGCGGCGAACGGGUGAGUAACACGUAGGUGAUCUGCCCAUCAGACGGGGACAACGAUUGGAAACGAUCGCUAAUACCGGAUAGGACGAAAGUUUAAAGAUGCUCCUGGCAUCACUGAUGGAUGAGCCUGCGGCGCAUUAGCUAGUUGGUGGGGUAAAGGCCUACCAAGGCGACGAUGCGUAGCCGACCUGAGAGGGUGAACGGCCACACUGGGACUGAGACACGGCCCAGACUCCUACGGGAGGCAGCAGUAGGGAAUCUUCGGCAAUGGGCGAAAGCCUGACCGAGCAACGCCGCGUGAAUGAAGAAGGCCUUCGGGUUGUAAAAUUCUGUUAUAAGGGAAAAAAGGUGAUAGGAGGAAAUGACUAUCAGUUGACGGUACCUUAUGAGAAAGCCACGGCUAACUACGUG